rnacentral:lncRNA from 1 species
CCUAGAUCUCUUUAAGCUGGAAUUUGAAGACUUGUGAGCCAUGACUUGGAUAUUCUGGAGCAAGGCCAAAAGCUCUGCUACAGAUACACAUGAGCUGAAGCUCUGAGCCACUCUUCAGAUAUUAGAAUGGCUCUCCAGCUUGUUUCUUGGAACAUUUUGCUUGGAAAAUUGUUCAUAUCUCAUUCCCAAAUAUUAUAUUAUUUUUCUUAAUGUUGCCAGAGAUAUCUUUUUUUACCUCUGAUAUUCACCUCUUUCCUGUUUGCAUUUGACUUGUGAGGAUCAUCCCAUUGCUCCGUGCUCUGACCUGGACCCCUUCGUGUACUGAGCUGUGAUAAUCUUUAUAAGCAUUUGUCUGCUGGCUUAAAUAGACCAAAAACUUAAAAAUAAAUCUCUGGUGCCAUGUUUUGGCUUCUCUUCUGAGCUUCCUUGGACUUUCCAUGGAUGUCACGUGUUGAUUGAGUGAGAGACUACAUAAAGUUCACAAUGAAAAGCAAGGGGCCUGUCAGAGGAAGAACGUCUCAUAACCAUAUUAGGAAACAUGAAAGGUCCAUUCAGAGAAGGCAGAGAUUAGAGAUGGAAAAUAUCUAGACAAGAGCCGGAGCUUCUCAAUAAGGAAAUAGCACCUUACUGACAACGCGAUGGACAGACAGAAGCCAAGACACACUGACAUGUCGGAAGUCAAGGGUCUAUCAGGAUUUGACCUGUCUCUGAGAGAAAGAAGAAAG